GACAUAGGUGGCGAACGUUAUCCGGAAUUAUUGGGCGUAAAGGGUGCGUAGGUGGCGAAGCAAGUUAGCGGUGGGAAAUCAGGGCUCAACCCUGUGGAAGCCGGUAAUACUGUUAGACUUGAGUAUCGGAGAGGUUAACGGAACUCCCUGUGGAGCGGUGAAAUGCGUAGAUAUAGGGAAGAACAUCAAACGGCGAAGGCAGUUAACUAUUCGGCUACUGACAUUGAGGCAUGAAAGCGUGGGGAGCAAAACGG
rnacentral:rRNA from 1 species